UCCUAUAGCUCAGAUGGUAGAGAAUCUGCCUGUAUUGCAGGAGACCCAGGUUCGAUCCCUGGGUCAGGAA
rnacentral:tRNA from 1 species